GACAUGAAGUGCGAGCGUUAUCUACAAUGACUGGGUGUAAAGGAUGAGUAGAUUGUUGAGAAAUUUUUUUUUUACCAUAAGCAGUAGCAUUAAAAUGAUUACUAUUCUCAAACUAGAAUUAAUAAGGGGUAAACAGAACUAAUAUUAUAGCGGUGAAAUGCUAGGAUAAUAGAGGGGCUCUCAUUGGCCACGGCAGUUUACUAUUAUUGAUUGACAUUGAGGCAUGAAAGUAUAGGUAUCGAAAAGGAUUAGAGACCCUUCUAGUCUAUACUGUGAAUGAUGAGUAUUAAGCAGUUAAGCUUUAGUUAACACGUUAAAUACUCCACCUGGGGAAUACAAUCGCAAGAUUAAAACUUAAAUCGAAAUUGGCGGGAAUUUGUAUGAACGGUGGAACAUGCGUCUUAAUUGGACAAUACACCAAAGAUCUUACCAGUAUUAAUAUUUUGUUUUUAUAUUUGAUGAAAUAUUUAGGCUCUGCAUGGCUGUCGUCAGUUCGUGUUGUGAAACGUGUGGUUAAGUCUUGAACGAACGAAAUUCUUUAUAAUAUUGAAAAUUAGAUAAUAUUUAUUUAAUUUACUUAUUAUUAGAUUUGAUGCUUAUAAUUUAACUAAUUAUGAAGUAUUGAAUUAAAGAUUGAAGUCAAGUCAGUAUGGACUAUAUAUACUGGGCGGAACGCGUGUUACAAUGGUAGAUACAAUAAGAUACGAAAGUGCAAACUUGAGUAAAUCAUUAAAACCUACCUUAGUACGGAAUAUUUUAUGAAAAUAAAAUAUUAAGGAGUAAUCGUUAGUAAUCGUAUUUUAGAAUGGUACGGUGAAAAUUAAAGCAAAUUUUGCACACACCGCCCAUCACGUGCGGAAAGUUAUUUUUAUUUUUAGUUAAGCCCUCUAUUCUUUUAUUUAAAAAUAAAUUUAUAUAAUUAUAAAUAGGAAGAAGCAUGGAACUGAGCGUAAAAAUAAUUAUUUGGACGAAGUUG
rnacentral:rRNA from 1 species